AAAGUACUAGUAAAACUAUUACAAUAUCUUGUCAAGAUAUAAUUAUGGGUUAAACCCCCAUGUAUUUUA
rnacentral:tRNA from 1 species